UGGCGGCGUGCCUAACACAUGCAAGUCGAACGAGAAAGUGGAGCAAUCCAUGAGUAAAGUGGCGACCGGGUGAGUAACACGUGACUAACCUACCCUCGAGUGGGGAAUAACUCCGGGAAACCGGGGCUAAUACCGCAUAACAUCGCAAGAUCAAAGCAGCAAUGCGCUUGAGGAGGGGGUCGCGGCUGAUUAGCUAGUUGGCGGGGUAACGGCCCACCAAGGCGAAGAUCGGUAUCCGGCCUGAGAGGGCGCACGGACACACUGGAACUGAAACACGGUCCAGACUCCUACGGGAGGCAGCAGUGGGGAAUUUUGCGCAAUGGGGGAAACCCUGACGCAGCAACGCCGCGUGGAGGAUGAAGCCCUUUGGGGCGUAAACUCCUUUCGACUCGGACGAUAAUGACGGUACGAGUGGAAGAAGCACCGGCUAACUCUGUGCCNAGCAGCCCCGGCCCGGGGG
rnacentral:rRNA from 1 species